rnacentral:rRNA from 1 species
UACAGAGGGGGCAAGCGUUGUUCGGAAUUACUGGGCGUAAAGGGCGCGUAGGCGGCCUCUUAAGUCGAACGUGAAAUCCCCGGGCUCAACCCGGGAACUGCGUCCGAUACUGGGAGGCUUGAAUCCGGGAGAGGGAUGUGGAAUUCCAGGCGUAGCGGUGAAAUGCGUAGAUAUCUGGAGGAACACCGGUGGCGAAGGCGGCAUCCUGGACCGGUAUUGACGCUGAGGCGCGAAAGCUAGGGGAGCAAACGGG